GAACUGCGAUAAGUGUGGUGAAUCGCAGAACACCGCGAACCAUGAAACCGUUGAACGCACACUGCAGCCUCAGGUCCGCCUGGGGUUACGUGUUGCUGAGUGUCGGCUCUAGCUUAAUGAUUGCACUCUUCCUUCACGGGAAACAGAGGGCUCUCGAUGUGUCGGUGUGGCUAGCAACCACUCCGGCUAAGUACAGGCAGCUCGUCUAUGGGUCAACACAUGGUCAAAGCAUGGCUACUCUUGAGGCUGUAUGGGAUUGGGUAUCAAUGCUUCUCGGUAGAUCACCUUGCUGCGAUCGAUCCUUCGACUGCUAACCAUAAGCUGAACGCUUCCAGAGGGACUUCAUGUUCGAUCUUAACAGAGAGAUAGUCGUCUCCGCCCACUGACCUCAGCAAUACGA
rnacentral:misc_RNA from 1 species